UACGUAGGGUGCGAGCGUUGUCCGGAAUUACUGGGCGUAAAGAGCUCGUAGGCGGUUUGUCGCGUCGGCUGUGAAAACUCGGGGCUCAACCCCGAGCCUGCAGUCGAUACGGGCAAACUAGAGUGUGGUAGGGGAGACUGGAAUUCCUGGUGUAGCGGUGAAAUGCGCAGAUAUCAGGAGGAACACCGGCGGCGAAGGCGGGUCUCUGGGCCAUAACUGACGCUGAGGAGCGAAAGCGUGGGGAGCGAACAGG
rnacentral:rRNA from 1 species